CACAUUGUAGCUUAAAACAAAGCAUUAGGCUUUUAACCUAACCAUGGGAAUUACGAUUGACUAACCCCGAUGUGG
rnacentral:tRNA from 1 species